rfam:Nematostella vectensis strain CH2 x CH6 NEMVEscaffold_97_Cont12278, whole genome shotgun sequence.
UCAUUCUGGUUUUCUUUCAUAUCGAUUAAAUCUUUCGCUUUUUACUAAAGAUUUCCGUGGAGGAGACCACUGAAAUGAGUAGAUCACUCAAUUUUUUUUUUGCCCUGCAUUUUUGCGGAG